UACCGAUCCGCAGUUUCUUAUGAUGUGCUCCGAGCCAACAUGUGUUCGAAGCACCACGAGAAGCUGCAGAUGGAG
rfam:Caenorhabditis remanei strain PB4641 contig50.3, whole genome shotgun sequence.